GUCGUAACAAGGUUUCCGUAGGUGAACCUGCGGAAGGAUCAUUACCUAGAGUUUGUGGACUUCGGUCUGCUACCUCUUACCCAUGUCUUUUGAGUACCUUCGUUUCCUCGGCGGGUCCGCCCGCCGGUUGGACAACAUUCAAACCCUUUGCAGUUGCAAUCAGCGUCUGAAAAAACUUAAUAGUUACAACUUUCAACAACGGAUCUCUUGGUUCUGGCAUCGAUGAAGAACGCGGCGAAAUGCGAUAAGUAGUGUGAAUUGCAGAAUUCAGUGAAUCAUCGAAUCUUUGAACGCACAUUGCGCCCCUUGGUAUUCCAUGGGGCAUGCCUGUUCGAGCGUCAUUUGUACCUUCAAGCUCUGCUUGGUGUUGGGUGUUUUGUCUCGCCUCCGCGCGCAGACUCGCCUUAAAACAAUUGGCAGCCGGCGUAUUGAUUUCGGAGCGCAGUACAUCUCGCGCUUUGCACUCAUAACGACGACGUCCAAAAGUACAUUUUUACACUCUUGACCUCGGAUCAGGUAGGGAUACCCGCUGAACUUA
rnacentral:rRNA from 1 species